GACGAACGCUGGCGGCGUGCCUAACACAUGCAAGUCGAACGGACAGGCCCUGCUUUUGCGGGUUGCUCGAGCGCCGAACAGGUGAGUGACACGUGAGUAACCUGCCCUUGACUUUGUGAUAACUUCAGGAAACUGGGGCUCAUACCGCAUAGGAGCUCCUGCUGCAUGUUGGUGGAUGGAGAGUUUCGGCGGUUGGGGAUGGACUCGCGGCUUAUCAGCUUGUUUGUGGGGUAGUGGCUUACCAAGGCUUUGACGGGUAGCCGGCCUGAGAGGGUGAACGGCCACAUUGGGACUGCGAUACGGACCAGACGCCUACGGGAGGCAGCAGUGGGGAAUAUUGCACAAUGGGCGGAAGCCUGAUGCAGCAACGCCGCGUGCGGGAUGCUGGCCUUCGGGUUGUAAACCGCUUUCGCCUGUGACGAAGCGUGAGUGACGGUAAUGGGUAAAGAAGCACCGGCUAACUACGUG
rnacentral:rRNA from 1 species